GGCAUUAGCACAUAAAAGGCUCCCGCGGCCAGCGGGCACGGGCGCGGGGGUGUCGCCGCUUUGGGGACAAGGACAUCCCCCCCCCCGCUCCCGGCCUCGGGCCCGGCCCCGCUCGGGUCCGCUCGCAUCUCGCUCCCUCCGCGGAGCUUUCGCCUCUUUUUUCUUCCUUUCCCUCUGUAUUUUCUUCCUUCUCCCUCCCUUUUCUUCGUUCUCUCCCCUUUUUCUUCCUUCUCCCCCUUCUUCUUCCUUCUCUCCCCUUUUUCUUCCCCCCCCUUUUAUUUCCUCUCCCCUUUUCGUUUUUUCUCCCCCUUUUGUUUUUUCCCCCUUUCCCCCUCUUUUUUUUCCUCGCCCCUUGCAUUUUUCUCCUGUUUUACUUUGUCCCUUUUCAUUUUUUCCCCUCGGCCCUUUCAUUUUCCUCUCCUCCUUUUCAUUCUUUCCCUGUCUAUUUCCUCCUUUAUUUCUUCUCCUCCUUUUACUUUCCUUGCUCCCUAUUUCCCUUUCCUUCCUUUUAUUUUCCUCAGCUUUUUAUCCCCUCUCUUAUUUUCUCCUUUUAUUUUUCUCCCCUUUUUAUUCUCCCUUCACCUUUUCUCCCGCCUUUUAUUUUUCUCUCUCCUUUCUUCCCUUUCUUUUCUUUCUUCUCCCUCCUUUUCUCUCCCUCAAUUUUUGUCCAUUUAAAUUUUUCCUCUCUGAUUUUUUCUCCCUCUUUCCCCUCCUGCUUCCAUUUCUUCUCCCUCCUUUCUCCCCACUUUCACCUUUUCUCUCUCCAUUCUCCUCCCUCUUUUCCUGCCCACUUCCAUUUUUUCUCCUUCCCUUCAUUUCUUCUCUUUCCUUUCUUCCCUUCCUUUUUUUCCUUCUGUCUGUUUUCCCUCCCUCUUUCCUCCCCGCUUUCAUUUCUUCUCCCUCCUUUUUUCUCCCUCCCUUUUCCUCCCUCUUUUCCUCCCUUUUAUUCUUUCUUCUCACUCUUUUUUCCUCCCUCUUUCUUCCCCAAUUUCAUUUCUUCUCCCUAUUUUUCCUCCUUUUUUUUCUCCCUCUUUUUUCCUCCCUUUUUCCUCCCCACUUUCAUUUCUUCUCCCUGUUUCCCCUCCCUCUUCCCUCCCC
rnacentral:lncRNA from 1 species